rnacentral:tRNA from 1 species
AUUUAUAUAGUUUAAAUUAAAACUUUACAUUUUCAUUGUAAUAUUAAAAUAAUAUUAUUUUUAUAAAUA